GCUCAGUUAUGCCGGCGACCGGCGCACGGGUGAGUAACACGUAUGCAACCUGUCCGUCUCAGGGGGAUAAUCGUCGGAAACGGCGUCUAAUACCCCGUAUGAAGCUGGACGGCAUCGUCUGGUUUUGAAAGAAUAUCGGAGACGGAUGGGCAUGCGGCGCAUUAGCUAGUUGGCGGGGUAACGGCCCACCAAGGCGACGAUGCGUAGGGGUUCUGAGAGGAAGGUCCCCCACACUGGUACUGAGACACGGACCAGACUCCUACGGGAGGCAGCAGUGAGGAAUAUUGGUCAAUGGGCGAGAGCCUGAACCAGCCAAGUCGCGUGAGGGAGUACUGCCCUAUGGGUUGUAAACCUCUUUUGUCGGGGAGCAAAAGCCGGACGUGUCCGUCUGUGAGAGUACCCGAAGAAAAAGCAUCGGCUAACUCCGUGCCAGCAGCCGCGGUAAUACGGAGGAUGCGAGCGUUAUCCGGAUUUAUUGGGUUUAAAGGGUGCGCAGGCGGAUUUUUAAGUCAGCGGUCAAAUCGUGGGGCUCAACCCCAUCCAGCCGUUGAAACUGGGGAUCUAGAGUGUGCGAGAGGUAUGCGGAAUGCGUGGUGUAGCGGUGAAAUGCAUAGAUAUCACGCAGAACCCCGAUUGCGAAGGCAGCAUACCGGUGCACAACUGACGCUCAGGCACGAAAGCGUGGGUAUCGAACAGGAUUAGAUACCCUGGUAGUCCACGCAGUAAACGAUGAAUGCUACCUNGUUGGCCAGAUUGAAGGCUGAGCGGGACAGCGAAAGCGUUAAGCAUUCNACCUGGGGAGUACGCCGGCAACGGUGAAACUCAAA
rnacentral:rRNA from 1 species